UACGAAGGGGGGCUAGCGUUGUUCGGAAUUACUGGGCGUAAAGGGCGCGUAGGCGGCCCCGUUCAGUCAGAUGUGAAAGCCCCCGGGCUCAACCUGGGAACUGCAUUUGAUACUGGCGGGCUUGAGUUCCGGAGAGGAUGGUGGAAUUCCGAGUGUAGAGGUGAAAUUCGUAGAUAUUCGGGAAGAACACCAGUGGCGAAGGCGACUGACUGGACAUGUAUUGACGCUGAGGUGCGAAAGCGUGGGGGAGCAAACAGG
rnacentral:rRNA from 1 species